AUGGCUGUCGUCAGCUCGUGUCGUGAGAUGUUGGGUUAAGUCCCGUAACGAGCGCAACCCUUGUCCUUAUUUGCCAUCAUUUAGUUGGGCACUCUAGGGAGACUGCCGGUGACAAACCGGAGGAAGGUGGGGACGACGUCAAGUCAUCAUGGCCCUUACGACCAGGGCUACACACGUGCUACAAUGGAGCGUACAAAGGGUUGCGACCUCGCGAGAGUGAGCUAAUCCCAUAAAACGUUUCGUAGUCCGGAUCGGAGUCUGCAACUCGACUCCGUGAAGUCGGAAUCGCUAGUAAUCGCGAAUCAGAAUGUCGCGGUGAAUACGUUCCCGGGUCUUGUACACACCGCCCGUCACACCAUGGAAGUAGAUUGCACCAGAAGUAGGUAGCUUAACCUUAGGGAGGGCGCUUACCACGGUGUGGUUUAUGACUGGGGUGAAGUCGUAACAAGGUAGCCGUACGGGAACGUGCGGCUGGAUCACCUCCUUUAAAGAGUAAAAAAGACGCCUGCAGUAAAUGAAGGCGCGAGCAUCCUCACAAGUUAUCUGAUUAGAAGCAGCAGCCCGCGGGUCUGUAGCUCAGUUGGUUAGAGCGCACCCCUGAUAAGGGUGAGGUCGGAAGUUCGAAUCUUCCCAGACCCACCAUUUUGCACAUCUCGGCGUUAAAUCGUCCCUCGUUUAUUGCAAAUAAGCGGUGGUCGCAUUUGCCUUGAUCGAUACAAAAUGGCAACAAGUUUGGGUUGAUUAGAACGUUGACGGAUUUUCUGUGACGACUAUUGAUGUCGUGAGCAGAAUUUUAUUUGGUUGGAAUGGCAGCAAACGCCGUAGCCAAACGAAUAAAGAUCAAGUCACGGGGCCAUAGCUCAGCUGGGAGAGCGCCUGCCUUGCACGCAGGAGGUCGGCGGUUCGAUCCCGCCUGGCUCCACCAAUUUUACUGGUGAAUUUGCUGCUCUAGAUAAGUCAUUAAACGAAAGUGAUUACUUUCACUUAAUGAUUUAUUGCUCUUUAACAAUUUGGAAAUUUCUGACGUCUUGAGUGGGUUGAUGACGUAGUCUUUUUUUCGAAAAAGGCGAGUUGUUAAUUCAUAUCAAGUGUCGCAUUUGCACAUGUUGCACGACACGGUUCGACUUGCACAGUCGAACAGGAAUGCAAAGGAAGUUGUCGCACAAAAGGUAGCAACUGAAUUUGUAUUUCGCCCAACACGGAUCCGAUUAACACUCGGGUACUUUCUUACGCAGAGAUUUUUUGAUCCAUCUAGGCGCAAGCUGAGAGAGGGAAGGAGUGACCAUUAGGGUCAUGACUGACCGAACGAAGUUUGCAACGACGAGGGAGCGAAAAAGAUCAAGUAAGAAAGAGUGCUUUGGGUUAUAUGGUCAAGCGACUAAGCGCAUAUGGUGGAUGCCUAGGCAGUAAGAGGCGAUGAAGGACGUAGUAGUCUGCGAUAAGCCCCGGUUAGCUGACAAACAAGCUUACCCGAGGAUUUCCGAAUGGGGAAACCCGG
rnacentral:sRNA from 1 species